rnacentral:rRNA from 1 species
UACAGAGGGUGCAAGCGUUAAUCGGAAUUACUGGGCGUAAAGCGCGCGUAGGCGGAUACUUAAGUCAAAUGUGAAAGCCCCGGGCCUAACCUGGGAACUGCACUUGAUACUGAGUGUCUAGAGUAUAGGAGAGGAAAGUGGAAUUUCUGGUGUAGCGGUGGAAUGCGUAGAUAUCAGAAGGAAUAUCAGUGGCGAAAGCGACUUUCUGGCCUAUUACUGACGCUGAGGUGCGAAAGCGUGGGGAGCAAACAGG